GGGCUACUAGCUCAGCUGGUUAGAGCACUCCGCUCAUAACGGAUAGGUCGCUGGUUCAAGUCCAGCGUGGCCCACCA
rnacentral:tRNA from 1 species